rnacentral:rRNA from 1 species
ACUGGCAGGCUUGAGUCUUGUAGAGGGGGGUAGAAUUCCAGGUGUAGCGGUGAAAUGCGUAGAGAUCUGGAGGAAUACCGGUGGCGAAGGCGGCCCCCUGGACAAAGACUGACGCUCAGGUGCGAAAGCGUGGGGAGCAAACAGGAUUAGAUACCCUGGUAGUCCACGCCGUAAACGAUGUCUACUUGGAGGUUGUGCCCUUGAGGCGUGGCUUCCGGAGCUAACGCGUUAAGUAGACCGCCUGGGGAGUACGGCCGCAAGGUUAAAACUCAAAUGAAUUGACGGGGGCCCGCACAAGCGGUGGAGCAUGUGGUUUAAUUCGAUGCAACGCGAAGAACCUUACCUGGUCUUGACAUCCACAGAACUUUCCAGAGAUGGAUUGGUGCCUUCGGGAACUGUGAGACAGGUGCUGCAUGGCUGUCGUCAGCUCGUGUUGUGAAAUGUUGGGUUAAGUCCCGCAACGAGCGCAACCCUUAUCCUUUGUUGCCAGCGAUUAGG